AACAUGUAAUAGGGUGAUUAAUGUCAUGCUUUAUAUAAUUUGUAUGUAUAUAUUUUAUUGACUUGUGUUAUUUAUUUAUUUGUGCCCAUAUUGUUCAGUGUGUGUGUAACAGAAGAGGUGUUUGUGUGUUAUAGAUUACAGGGAGUGAUUAUUGCUGACUUACCUGUAUGUCUAUUUUUAAGUUACCUUACCUGUAUAGUUAUAUUUUUAUACAUCACAUGACGUACAUGUGAUAGGUUUCUAUACUUUUUAUUGGUCAAGAUAUUAUAAUAGCCUUUGGUCAGUUUGGCGGGAAUCUCUUUGUAAGGAAGUUAGUUCUCUACAGUCUGCCAAACUGAUCAGACCUAUACAUAUAUUGAGUCGGACAUUUGUGACAAAGGACCGAAAGACAGAGAAUUUAUUGAUUGUCAUAAGAAACAUGGAAUACUGGUGAUGAUAUGAGGUUGAAACGGCUCUGUGCCAUACACAGGUGAAUACCUUUUUAGUGUAUUGUAAUAUUGUGUAACUUAUUAUGGGAGAAUCCAGUUUGUUUAUAUAUGUUGAUACAAAUCUCUUUAUAGGUGAUUUGUACUAGAGUAGAUCUUUCGUCUCAAAGAUAAAUUUCAUGUUAAAUGUAUAUGAUCUAUAUUUAUUGUAAUUUCAAUAAGAUAGUUGUAAAGAUAAUUAUUACAAAGUUAAUAUCUUAGUUAAAUGUAAUUACAUGUGUCCAGAUAGCUUAUAUUUCGUGUUUAGCAUAACUAGUGUGAUUCGCUAGUUAUCUCCCUUGAUUGUAUCUUGCAAUGUAUGUGCUUUGUGUAAUUUUAGUCUUUUAUGUUUGUUACAGAGUGUAGGUGUUUUAACCUACUGAACUUGUCAAAAUAAAGAACUCACGACAAACAAA